GAUGAAGAACGCAGCGAAAUGCGAUAACUAAUGUGAAUUGCAGAAUUCAGUGAAUCAUCGAGUCUUUGAACGUACAUUGCGCCCCCUGGUAUUCCGGGGGGCAUGCCUGUCCGAGCGUCAUUGCUGCCCUCAAGCACGGCUUGUGUGUUGGGCUCCGUCCCCCCGGGGACGGGCCCGAAAGGCAGCGGCGGCACCGAGUCCGGUCCUCGAGCGUAUGGGGCUUUGUCACCCGCUCUGUAGGCCCGGCCGGCGCCAGCCGACAACCCAUCAUCCUUUUCAGGUUGACCUCGGAUCAGGUAGGGAUACCCGCUGAACUUAAGCAUAUCAAUAAGCGGAGGA
rnacentral:misc_RNA from 1 species